rnacentral:lncRNA from 1 species
AGACAUUAAUCUUAAGUAUCCAGGGAGCCCUAAAACAUUGUAUCCCACUAGCAAGGACCAUGGUAAUUGCCACGUAAAUCCCCUCCAUUAUGUGGCCCUUAUUAUGACCAGCCAGCCAAGGCUUGCCUUUAAAUCAUACCAAUUGAACCGAGCCUUGUAGAAACACUAUCACCUACGCAUACCUCUGCUUCUUUUCAUUAACCUGCUAUCCUCUUUACAAAUGGGAUUCUUCACCCACUCCCUUCUUCUAGAUUAGCAAUGCCCUGUUAAGUAAACGAACACGAAAUUCAAAGGGAAACAGGAGCAAUCAUCAUUACCAGCUGCCGUGUUAAGCAUUGCGAAAACGCUCACGAUUCACAGAAAAAUCCAUGCUGUUCUUUGAAGGCAUUCAAGCCUUAAUAGCUAGCUGGAUGAAUGUUUAACUUCUAGGCCAGGCACUACUCUGUCCCAACAAUAAGCCCUGUACAUUGGGAAAGGUGCCGAGACAUGAACUUUGGUCUUCUCUGCAAUCCAUCUGGAGCAUUCACUGACAACAUCGACUUUGAAGUUGCACUGACCUGGCCAGCCCUGCCACUUACCAGGUUGGCUCUGUAUGGCUAAGCGUUUUCUCCUAAAAUCCCUUGAAAACUGUGAGAAGACCAUAAGAAGAUCAUAUCUUUAAUUCUAUUUCACAAGUCACACAAUAUUCCAAUCAAAUACAGAUGGUUGAGAAAAGUCAUCCAUCUUCCCUCCCCACCCUCCCACAGCCCCUCAACCACUGCCCUGAAACUUAUAUGCUGUUAUCCGCAGCUCCAUCUGGAGCAUCACAGCUACUGUCAACCCUGACGCUCUUUCUGAAAAAACACCGGAUGGACAUCAGAACUAUUUCUUUAAGGAUGUUACUGAGCCACACAGGAAAACUUGCCUUAUGAUUUUGAAUGCACGGAUCUGAUUUGACUAAACAUGAUAACUAGAGAAUCACCCAAUCUACUCCCAUUUUCAACUCUAAAUCAUCAGAGUGUCUCAAAUCCAAAGCACACACAGACCAGCCUGGCCAACACGGUGAAACUCCACCCCUACUAAAAGUAUAAAAAUUAUCCAGGUGUGGUGGCGGGCGCCUGUAAUCCAAGCUACUUGGGAGUCUGGAGGCAGGAGAAUCCCUUGAACCUGGGAGAUGGAGGUUGCAGUGAGCAGAGAUCACACCACCGCACUCUAGCCUGGGCCACAAAUCAACAACAACAACAACAACAAAAAACAAAGCGCACACAGAGACUGAGGUCCUCUUUGGCAUUGAGAAGAUGGCUAUGCAAGUCCCAACUAGCAAGUGCAAACUUCCCAGCUUCACUUCUGCCAGUGUCCCUUCACCCCUUCUCAACCCCACUGGGAGGCAGGAGGGUGCUUGACAAUAACAGCCUUGGCAUCACUCUGCCAGGGUGUAAUAGGAACUGUUACAAUUCUGAGAUUCUGUAAGUGCUUUGAGAUUUUGGAGUCAGACUGCUUGAACUUGAAUCCUGGCCCUCUCAUCAGAGACUUGACUUAUUUUAGGCAAGUUAUAUAACCAAUUUUACCUCAGUUCCUUACCCAUAAAAUGGGUCUAAUGAGAGUACCUACCACACAGAAUUUUGAUGAAAACUGAAUGAGAUGAAGGCCUUUAAGGCAGUGGUCCCCAACCCUGGGGACACAGACAGGUACCAUUUUGUGGCCUGUUAGGAACUGGGCCACACAGCAGGAGGUGAGCAGUGGGUGAGUGAGAUCAGCGUUAUUUACAGCUGCUCCCCAUUGCUCACCUUACUGCCUGAGCUCCACCUCCUGUCAGAUCAGCAGUGGCAUUAAAUUCUCAUAGCAGCACAAACCCUGUCAUGAACUGCACAUGCGAGGGAUCUAGGUUGUGCGCUCCUUAUGAGAAUCUAAUGCCUAAUGACCUGUCACCGUCUCCCAUCACCCCUAGAUGGGAGUGUCUAGUUGCAGGAAACAAGCUCAGGGCUUCCACUGAUUCUACAUUAUGGUGAGUUGUAUAAUUAUUUCAUUAUAUAAUACAAUGUAAUAAUAAUAGAAACACAGUGCACAACAAAUGUAAUGUGCUUGAAUCAUCCCCAAACCAUCCCAGUCCACGGUCUUCCACAUUUUGUCUUUUCACAAAAUUGUCUUCCACAAAACUGGUCCCUGGUGCCAAAAAGGCUUGGGACCACUGCUUUAAAGCCUUUGCAUAGUGCUUAGAAUUGAGGGGGAAAAAAAAAACAAAAACAAUGUAGCUAGUUGCUACAAUCACUAUAUUGGUGAGUUUCAAAAGGAAAAGAAUUCUGUCCCAUUUAUGCUUGAGCCUUGAGUUGCUAACCAAGCCUGACACAAAAUUACUGUUGAAGGGAUGUGUGAGUCCUAAUUGAAAUGAGGCCUCUUAAGGGAAUUGUGGACCAAACCCCAAGCAGGCAGAAAGCCGUAUCUUAAUUAUUGCAAGUAUUUCAGGCAAGGUGUGGAUGGCCAUUUGAAUUCAAGCAGACUAGGACCUGGGAUGAGAAAGAAGGUGUGUACGUGACUUGAUCUUUGAACUUUAGCUCACCAUCUGGAAGAAGGCUGAGUAUUCUCUGCACUCACAUAGUAGCUAAUGCCUACUCCCCAGCCACCCACAAUUCUUUCUGUAGGAAGGCUCGCUAGAAUACUUUGUGAUAUUGGAUAUUAGUUCCAUAUUCUACUGUGUAUCUUAGUUCAACCAAAUUGUAAUCAUCUGAUAUUUAUUUCUUUUAAUAUAAAUAUAAGUAUAUUAAGUCUUGGCAUGCUUGCUCAGUCUCUCUCUCUCUCCCAUUCCUCCCCGCUCCCCUCUCUCUUUCCCAACAGGCUUGGAAAGCAGGCAUCACCAUGCCUAUUUAACAGUUGGGGUCCCUUGGCCACCAGGUGCUGGAGUAGGAAUCUGAGCCCGGACAUGCCUGAUCUGUAAAUUUUGUGUUUUCCCCACUGUGCUGGGCAGAUCACAGCUAUCAGCGCCAAAUUCAUAGAAGGGGCGCCCCCUGUGGUCAAUUGAGGGAUUUGUGUUUGAGGUAGAUCUCAAGAAGGAAUGGGUGGGGAACUUAGCCUAGGACAGAGCAGAAAGGAGCCCUCACUCCCCAAGCACCAACGGCCUCAGUCCUUCCUGCUGACUCCAGCCUCUAGCUCUCACCCAGACUAUCUGCAUCCUUCUCUCCACCACGCUCCUUUGGAACCUGCGUAAAACACAGAUUAAAGGAAUUCCGCCUUACUUCCCUUUCCGCAUUAUGACCAAAUGGUUUUACACUAUCAUUGAACAGUUUAGUACAAAACAUGCCACCUUUUAAUCUAUUCAUUCAUUUAACAAAUACUUUGGAGUGUUUACCAUGUGCCAAGUGCUGUUCUAAUAGACAUAAGCUGUGAGGUUAUGCUUAUCUGAUUCUCACAGCAACAGCUUUCGAGAUAUGAAUUGGUAUACUCAUUUGACAGAUGAGGAAAUUGAAUUCAUGUAGUGAGAAAGGAAGAGCUGCAAUUCAGGGUUACUGGUUUCUCCUGCACUAAGCACUGAGCCACACUAGAAGAGAAGGCAUGAGGAAGACAAAAGUGAGAAGGCACUCAGGAAAUAUUAGUUGCAUGAACGAAGGCUGCAUUUUCAUUAGAACAACAUGCAGUUCAACCCCUUCAUGUUUCAAUGAGGGUUCAGAUACCCAGAGGGCUAUGCUAUCAUCCUGGAGCCCACUCUGCUAACAAUUAGCAGAACGGAAGCCUUAAUUUCCAGAUUCUAGUGAACUUGAUGAGUCAAGACUAUUGCAAUUGGAAAUCUGUUCUCCUCUGCUGCUGCAUUCCCUGCUUAAUACUCAAGCCAGAAACCAGGAAGGUAUGUGCCACAAAGUAAAGUGGGAUUCAGGACAAUUAUCCAUCAAGACUUUGUUACAGAUAUCCAAAGCAGGCAAUUCAAGACCCAGCUUGACUUUACUGUCUCCAUUGUGGUGGUUAAUGGAGACAAAUUCAAUUCAAAUAUGUGCACGUGGAUUUCUUUGUUUCUCUGAGGUUUGACUUAUCUGCCAAAAGAGAGAAACACAGAAAGAGGGGAGAAACAGGAGAGGGGAAAGAGAGAGGAGAGAGAAACCAAGGAAAUGUGACAUAUAAUAAUUUUUUAAAGAAUAUUUUUUCAUUUUUUUAUUGAGGUAUAAAAUACAUGUAGUAAGGUAUGUCAAUAACUCAAAUCUUAUGUGAUUUUUUUAUGUACAUGUAUACCUGUGUACACCUGUGUAACCACUACCUAAGUCAAGAUAGAGAACAUUUUAAUCAUCUUAAAAGAUUUCCUGUGUCUCUUCCCACCAAUACCUGCUGAUGAGCCCACUCUCCUUACAGCUAUCAGCAGAGUUGUUUUACCUGUCCUUGAACUUAAUAUAAAUGUAAUUAUACUGUAUAUGCUCUUUUGUGUCUGAUUUCUUUCACCCAACGUACUUGUUGGUUUAGUCCAUGUUGUGUAUAUCAGCAGUUUGUUUUUGUUAAGUAGCAGUGUUCCAUUGUAUAAAUGGACCAUAUUUUAUCCUUCAUGUUAAUGAACAUUUGAAUUGUUUUCAUGUUCUUGUUAUGAAUCAACAUGGUUAUGAAUAGUUUGGUUAUGAAGAGUUUUACACAUGUUUUUAGUCUAUUUUGUUUCUCUUAAAUAUAUACUUAGUCACGGGAUUACUGGUCAUAUAGUAUAGGCAGGCAGAUGUUCAGCUUUAAUUGACACAACCAACUGUUUUUGAAAGGGGUUGAGGCAAUUCACACACAAUAAAUAACAAUAUAUAAAAGUUCCAA